rnacentral:lncRNA from 1 species
CUCUGGUUUGUAGAAACCCACUCCCCAGCUGAUGCCAGACACCAAGAUUCCUGUAUAUGCCUCCUUACAACACCACCAAGCCUGUGUGCAUGGCUUCAUGUCUUGUGGUGCAUCUGUGAGCCAUGCUCAGUGCACAGAGAUGCAGGGGGAUUUUCAAAGCCUCAGUCUGCUAAGCCUGUGGUUUUGCUUCUGGACUCCUCAGUGAUGGAGAGUUGAUGAACCAACAGGAGCUUUAUCUUGCACCAUCAUGGGAGAGCCCA